rnacentral:rRNA from 1 species
CCUACGGGAGGCAGCAGUGAGGAAUAUUGGUCAAUGGGCGGAAGCCUGAACCAGCCAAGUAGCGUGCGGGAGGAAGGCCCUAAGGGUCGGAAACCGAUUUUGCACGGGGAUAACACCCUGCACUGGUGGAGGUCUGCAGGUAUCGUGCGAAUCAGGGCCGGCUAAUUCCGGGUCAGCAGCCGCGGUACUACGGAAGGCACGAGCGUUAGCAGGGUUCCGUGGGCUGAAAGGGGGCGUAGUCGGGCGCUAAAGUCAGAUGUAAAAACGCGCGGCACAACCGCGCAACGCAGUUGAAACUGGACGCCUUGAGUUCGCAACAGGCAGGCGGAAUUCGUGGUGUAGCGGUGAGAUGCAU